GACGAACGCUGGCGGCGUGCUUAACACAUGCAAGUCGAACGGGCCUGUCUUCUUUUUUGGGGGGUGGGUUGAGUGGCGAACGGGUGAGUAUCACGUGAGUAACCUGCCCUUCGGUCCUGGAUAACCGCUUGAAAGGGCGGCUAAUACGGGGUGGUCCGGUUGGUCCGCAUGGGCUGGUCGGGAUAGAUUCACUGUUUUUGGUGUUUCGGCGGGGGAUGGGCUCGCGGCCUAUCAGCUUGUUGGUGGGGUGAUGGCCUACCAAGGCGGUGACGGGUAGCCGGGCUGAGGGGGUGGGCGGCCACACUGGGACUGAGAUACGGCCCAGACUCCUGCGGGAGGGAGCAGUGGGGGGUAUUGCACAAGGGGCGGAAGCCUGAUGCAGCGACGUCGCGUGAGGGAUGGAGGCCUUCGGGUUGUGAACCUCUGUUUCCGGUGGUGAAGGCCCUGUCCGUGUGGUGGGGUUGACGGUAGCCGGGGAUGAAGCGCCGGCUAACUACGUG
rnacentral:rRNA from 1 species